GACGAACGCUGGCGGCGUGCUUAACACAUGCAAGUCGAACGAUGAAGUUCCUUCGGGAAUGGAUUAGUGGCGAACGGGUGAGGAACACGUGAGAAACCUGCCUUUCAUUUUGGGAUAACUCCGGGAAACCGGGGCUAAAACCGAAUACUCCGUCUCGGCGGCAUCGCUGAGCCGGGAAAAAAUUUUGAUGAAAGAUGGUCUCGCGGCCUAUCAGCUAGUUGGGGAGGUAAUGGCUAACCAAGGCAACGACGGGUAGCCGGCCUGAGAGGGCGACCGGCCACACUGGGACUGAGACACGGCCCAGACUCCUACGGGAGGCAGCAGUGGGGAAUAUUGGGCAAUGGGCGCAAGCCUGACCCAGCGACGCCGCGUGAGGGAUGAAGGCCUUCGGGUUAUAAACCUCUUUCAGUAGGGAAGAAGCGAAAGUGACGGUACCUAAAGAAGAAGCACCGGCUAACUAUGUGCCAGCCGCCGCGGUAA
rnacentral:rRNA from 1 species